AGGGGGGGAGAGCAACGAGGGCUGUUCUUACGGCACGGCAUUCAUAAGACUAAAGACGACACCGACACUUUUUCCUCAGAUACUCAUGUUUACCCAAGCAUCACAAGUAGUACUAGUUUCACAGGAAUGUAAACAAAACAAAACAAAACCCUAUCCAGGAGGCUCCCAUAAACAAUGAAAAGCUCUCAGCCAUCACAUUCAUCUGCUUCACCGCUGUUGGAAAUAGAAGACUGCAUCAUGUUACCACCAGCAAGGUGCUGCUGUUCUUAUAGUUGCAUUGCUAGUUGGUUCAGCUCUUGGCCUCCUGAUAAUCGUAACUCACACUGAGGAAGACUUCACAUACCUCCUAAAAAAGGUAGCCAAGCUGGUCCAAAAGAAAACAACUCCAAAAUCCACAGUUGGACAAUAUAUUUAUUACGACCAACUAAACUGUCACAAAAUAGUGACAAGCUUUCAGCUUCUGUGGAAUGCUUCAUCAGGCAAGAUAUUACACAAAGCAGGAAGGGGAGAAUGAGAAAAAAUAAAUAGCUUUUCACUACCACCUUAUUUUCUCAAAUACUUUGAGAACCAAACUUUGUAAGAUUUUUUUACUGAACUAACAAUAUACUUGAGAAACACAACAGUAUGCUAUGAAUACAUAGCAAGUAUGAGUGAUUUGGACGUGCAUGAAAGACUAUGAGUAUUAGAAUAUGUGAUUAUCAUGUUUUUCAUAACAAUUCCACAGACCAACCUCGUUUGUGAUGCUUCACAGCCAUGAUUAGUUAAUUAAAACGUACAAU